GCGGAGGCCCACUCUGGCUCGGUCUCUUCCUUUCAUUCUGUGCUCUUCUUCGUUCUUUCUCUCUACUUGUUUUUGCUUCAGGAGCCGCACUGGGAGCAUCUACAGGGACCCCGAGGCUUCUUUUUCUCUACACACCUCACCAGACGGAUACAAGCAAAAUAUAAACAGAAAAACUCUCUGCUUUUACAUCUAAGCGAUGGUCAGUAAACGAUUUACUUUUAAGAUAUGCUGUAUUAGCAGUAUCUGAUGUGUAAUGUUCCUGUGGGAAAAGAAACAAAGAGGUCCUUUGAGGGUGUGCAGAAGAAGGAUAAUGGUGCCUACUACAUGAAAGCUUCAUCUGCACCAAGAGAAGAAACUUUGUUGCUGUGCCCCGGUCGCUCACGCAUGGAACUGCAGCAGCAGCAGCAGCAUAGCAGGCGCAGCACAAUGGGCCUCAUUCAGAGGCAGCGCUGCAUGUGAAGGUGCUGCAAACGCUGAUGGAGAAUAAAGAGAGAGGGAGAAAGAGAGAGGGCUGCAGUGACAGCUGCAUCAUGGAGAUCAGGAGGGAGGCAUCGCCCCGGGCGCGACAGAUGCUUUCUCAGCAUUGCUCUGUGGAGACAGUUUGGGUGCUGCUUGGUGGGACACAAUGAGAGCACUUCAUCAAUAAUGCAAAAUGUUUCAGUGGAAACUGCCUGGCAACCACCACUGCAACGCCUGCAUCCUGUAUCGGAGAGAGAGAGCCUGAGAAACAAGAGAGAGGGAACCGCCGUGUACGUAGCUGAGCUGAAGAAGGCAGGAGGGGAGCAUCUACAUCCUCAGAGGAAACGGCUGCACUCUUGUCAUCAGGACUCCUCCCACUGUCUGUGGUUCGAUCAUCAUCUUGACCAGGAACUUUCUGCAGGAGUUAUACAAGGAAAUUGUAAUAUGCUGAUGUUUUAAAAACUCUAACUUGUUGAGUGUUCAACAAGAUUCUGAAACAAAAAUGAAUAGAGUUUCUACAUACAGUAUGUGCCAAGGUCCUUUUCUACUAGUAACACCUGAUCCUGGAUCUGCAUGAAGCCAGUAUUAUUAGUUGACCAGCUGAUUAGUUCCCUCAGUCGGUUAAUCAACCAAUCAAUGAAUAUAAGAGACUUUUACUCCUGAUUGACUUGAACACUGAGCACCAACUUAACUCUCACAUCGUCCUCAUCAUCAAGUCCCCUGUCUUUUUGUGGAUGUUUUAAAAACAGGACAUACUGUUUAUCAGAAAACAUAUUUUGGAAGUUUUACACUUAAUUUCUAUAAAGUUUUUUUGUGGUGUAAUGCUUCAUCUGUAAACCA